GCAACCCCAAGUUGCCCCAAGAGGACUUGGCAGCAAAUGAAGAUGAAGUACAAAAAUAUAGUUCAAAAAUGUAAACUAAUGUUUAAUUGAAAUCAAAUCAAUUGUGCUGUUUUGCCUGCUCUACCUAAUUUAACAGCUAUUUUCAACAUGUGAUGGGCCUAUAUUUAAGCAGUAAAUGUAAGUAGUACAUUUCCCAGCCACCCCAACACUGCCAAUAGUUAAUAGGAUUUAGAAAUAUUAGAAGGCUACACCUAGGCCAAAUGCAUUACAUAUAUAUAUAUAUAUAUAUAUAUAUACAUGUCUUCAAAAUAGUGCUUACUGAAUUUUAGGGUAACAUUUUCCUCCAUGUUAGCAAAUCGAAAAAAAGCAGAGGCCCGGAAGACUGGAGGGGGUCCACCUCUGCAGCCCUCACAGAGGCUGAGGGGAUGGCCCUCAGCGAACAGAGUAUGCGUCCUGUGGCUGAGGGCAUCCCUGGGGGGAGCUCCUCUGACCCCCCCCACCCUCCAGGAUAGAAAUGCCUUUAUAAGAGUUACUGAUGGCGUCAUCGCCCUAGGCUACUUGAACCAGAUGCCCUCACCAACCUUCAUGCAAUUGUAACAAUUCAAAAG
ensembl:lncRNA